UGGGGAAUAUUGGACAAUGGGCGAAAGCCUGAUCCAGCCAUGCCGCGUGAGUGAUGAAGGCCUUCGGGUCGUAAAGCUCUGUGGGGAGGGACGAAAAGACGGUGGUUAAUACCCACUGGAAUUGACGGUACCUCCUUAGCAAGCACCGGCUAACUCCGUGCCAGCAGCCGCGGUAAUACGGAGGGUGCAAACGUUGCUCGGAAUCAUUGGGCGUAAAGCGCACGUAGGCGGUCAUCUAAGUCGGGUGUGAAAGCCCUGGGCUCAACCCAGGAAGAGCACUCGAAACUGAAUGGCUUGAGUAUGGAAGAGGGUCGCGGAAUUCCCGGUGUAGAGGUGAAAUUCGUAGAUAUCGGGAGGAACACCAGUGGCGAAGGCGGCGACCUGGGCCAAUACUGACGCUGAGGUGCGAAAGCGUGGGGAGCAAACAGGAUUAGAUACCCGUGUAGUCC
rnacentral:rRNA from 1 species